GACGAACGCUGGCGGCGUGCCUAACACAUGCAAGUCGAGCGAGGAGGAGGAAGCUUGCUUUCGAAUCCUAGCGGCGGACGGGUGAGUAACGCGUGAGCAAUCUGCCUUUUACAGGGGGAUAACGCAUCGAAAGAUGUGCUAAUACCGCGUAAGACCACAGCACCGCAUGGUGCAGGGGUCAAAGGAGCAAUCCGGUAAAAGAUGAGCUCGCGUCCGAUUAGCUAGUUGGUGAGAUAACAGCCCACCAAGGCGACGAUCGGUAGCCGACCUGAGAGGGUGAACGGCCACACUGGAACUGAGAAACGGACCAGACUCCUACGGGAGGCAGCAGUGGGGAAUAUUGGGCAAUGGAGGCAACUCUGACCCAGCAACGCCGCGUGAAGGAAGAAGGCCUUCGGUUGUAACUUUGUUGUAGAGGACGAAGAAAGUGACUGUACUCUACGAGGAAGCCCGGCGUAACUAUGUG
rnacentral:rRNA from 1 species